UACAGAGGGGCAAGCGUUGUUCGGAAUUACUGGGCGUAAAGGCGCGUAGGCGGCCUGUUAAGUCGAACGUGAAAUCCCCGGGCUCAACCCCGGGAACUGCGUCCGAUACUGGCAGGCUUGAAUCCGGGAGAGGGAUGCGGAAUUCCAGGUGUAGCGGUGAAAUGCGUAGAUAUCUGGAGGAACACCGGUGGCGAAGGCGGCAUCCUGGGACCGGCAUGACGCUGAGGCGCGAAAGCCGGGG
rnacentral:rRNA from 1 species